rnacentral:rRNA from 1 species
GAUGAACGCUGGCGGCGUGCCUAAUACAUGCAAGUCGAGCGAACAGACGAGGAGCUUGCUCCUCUGACGUUAGCGGCGGACGGGUGAGUAACACGUGGAUAACCUACCUAUAAGACUGGGAUAACUUCGGGAAACCGGAGCUAAUACCGGAUAACAUGUUGAACCGCAUGGUUCAACAGUGAAAGACGGUCUUGCUGUCACUUAUAGAUGGAUCCGCGCCGCAUUAGCUAGUUGGUAAGGUAACGGCUUACCAAGGCAACGAUGCGUAGCCGACCUGAGAGGGUGAUCGGCCACACUGGAACUGAGACACGGUCCAGACUCCUACGGGAGGCAGCAGUAGGGAAUCUUCCGCAAUGGGCGAAAGCCUGACGGAGCAACGCCGCGUGAGUGAAGAAGGUCUUCGGAUCGUAAAACUCUGUUAUUAGGGAAGAACAAAUGUGUAAGUAACUAUGCACGUCUUGACGGUACCAAAUCAGAAAGCCACGGCUAACUACGUG